UAGGGAUGACAGCUGAGAUGUAUAUAGAAGUAGGUGGGUUGGACGUUCAACAAAGUUCUUUAAGGGGAAAGAUAACUCCAAUGAUAAAUGCAUCCUUUUGCCUUUGUUCUGUCUUCCUUUCUGCAGCUUGAAGCAAUGGAUGUGAUGUUUGGCGCUUCAGUCCCCAUUUUGAUAUUGUGAAAUUCCCCUGAGAAUGCAAGCAAAUGUUGAGAAUGGUGCAACAGAAAGGAAGAACUCGGUCCCUGAUGUAUUUAUGGAGCUACAAUUUUAGUGACUUGCUGUUCUCUGCUUUUGCUUGCCUGGAUUUUGGUAUCUGUGUCAUCUUCAAGAUGGAUGAUCCCUGGUUUGAAUUUGUGAGUGCAAGUUCAUUCAGCAGUCUUUUCAUGUGUGGUGUUUCCAGAAAUGUUAAUGAAUGAGAUUAACUUCAUGCCACCUACUGCAAUAAAAACCCUUGUAGAUUAAAGCUAAAGUGCAGAAGUGGAUGUGUGAUCUAUGAAUAUGGCCUGAUGCUUUUCUCAUAUCUCUUUGUUUUCAAUACUUAGAAACCUGAGUAUUUGGGAAAAAUGCAAAUUCUGAAAAAUCAGACUAGGCACUGUAGCUCACACCUGUAAUCCCAGCACUUUGGGAGGCCAAGGUGGGCAGAUCACCUGAGGUCAGGAGACUAGCCUGACCGACUUAGAGAAAUCCCAUCUCUACUAAAAAUACAAAAUUAGCCAGGCACGGUAGUGCAAGUCUGUGAUCCCAGUUACUCAGGAUGCUGAGGCAGGAGAAAUGCUUGAACCUAGGAGGUGAAAGUUGCCUUGAGCUGAAAUUGUGCCAUAUCAUUCCAGCCUGUGCAACAAGAGCUAAACUUUGCCCACCCACCAAAAAAAAAAAAAAAAAGAAUCUUAAUAAUUUUUCUAUUUUUAGCAAAUUUUUAGGUUCGAACUCAUUAUACAAUUAGGAGGAAGAAAAUGCAAUUGUUUUGGUGAUAUUUUUGGAAAACUUUACAAAAGAUUAGAUAUACUAUUCAAACAACUGAAAUGUAAUUGUUUAAUUCAAAUAAAAAAUCUGAAGCAAGUAUUGUUUGGUGGUGCCAGCCCCCAAAAAGUGAGCAAAACAACUUAUUGUCUCACAUAAACUUAUUUCAUUAAAUAGGCCUUUAGAAUUUAAACAACCUUUAGAAGCAGAACCAGAAAGACAUUUUUAAGAAGUGAGGGAGGAAUACUGGCUCAGAGGAUGAACAAGCACAAAAAAAUUAGAAGAGGAAAUUAUUACCUAGCGGCAUUAAACAUAAGCUUAGCUGGCAUUUGUCAUAGUAGUUUCAAUGUUAUGUACAAAAGAAAAUAUAUUUAGUUAUUGGUUUCAAAACAGAGAGGAGUCACCAAAUCUGGAAAUGGUACUACUUAUAUUGUUUUCAUUCACACAACCAACACUUAUUAAGUGUUACUAUUCACGAGGCGCUAAGUAAAGUGACUCCUGUUCUAAGGAGCUCCUAGAAGUGCUGGGA
rnacentral:lncRNA from 1 species